rnacentral:rRNA from 1 species
GAUGAACGCUGGCGGCGUGCCUAAUACAUGCAAGUCGAGCGAACGGACGAGAAGCUUGCUUCUCUGAUGUUAGCGGCGGACGGGUGAGUAACACGUGGAUAACCUACCUAUAAGACUGGGAUAACUUCGGGAAACCGGAGCUAAUACCGGAUAAUAUUUUGAACCGCAUGGUUCAAAAGUGAAAGACGGUCUUGCUGUCACUUAUAGAUGGAUCCGCGCUGCAUUAGCUAGUUGGUAAGGUAACGGCUUACCAAGGCAACGAUGCAUAGCCGACCUGAGAGGGUGAUCGGCCACACUGGAACUGAGACACGGUCCAGACUCCUACGGGAGGCAGCAGUAGGGAAUCUUCCGCAAUGGGCGAAAGCCUGACGGAGCAACGCCGCGUGAGUGAUGAAGGUCUUCGGAUCGUAAAACUCUGUUAUUAGGGAAGAACAUAUGUGUAAGUAACUGUGCACAUCUUGACGGUACCUAAUCAGAAAGCCACGGCUAACUACGUGCCAGCAGCCGCGGUAAUACGUAGGUGGCAAGCGUUAUCCGGAAUUAUUGGGCGUAAAGCGCGCGUAGGCGGUUUUUUAAGUCUGAUGUGAAAGCCCACGACUCAACCGUGGAGGGUCAUUGGAAACUGGAAAACUUGAGUGCAGAAGAGGAAAGUGGAAUUCCAUGUGUAGCGGUGAAAUGCGCAGAGAUAUGGAGGAACACCAGUGGCGAAGGCGACUUUCUGGUCUGUAACUGACGCUGAUGUGCGAAAGCGUGGGGAUCAAACAGGAUUAGAUACCCUGGUAGUCCACGCCGCAAACGAUGAGUGCUAAGUGUUAGGGGGUUUCCGCCCCUUAGUGCUGCAGCUAACGCAUUAAGCACUCCGCCUGGGGAGUACGACCGCAAGGUUGAAACUCAAAGGAAUUGACGGGGACCCGCACAAGCGGUGGAGCAUGUGGUUUAAUUCGAAGCAACGCGAAGAACCUUACCAAAUCUUGACAUCCUUUGACAACUCUAGAGAUAGAGCCUUCCCCUUCGGGGGGGCAAAGUGACAGGUGGUGCAUGGUUGUCGUCAGCUCGUGUCGUGAGAUGUUGGGUUAAGUCCCGCAACGAGCGCAACCCUUAAGCUUAGUUGCCAUCAUUAAGUUGGGCACUCUAAGUUGACUGCCGGUGACAAACCGGAGGAAGGUGGGGAUGACGUCAAAUCAUCAUGCCCCUUAUGAUUUGGGCUACACACGUGCUACAAUGGACAAUACAAAGGGCAGCGAAACCGCGAGGUCAAGCAAAUCCCAUAAAGUUGUUCUCAGUUCGGAUUGUAGUCUGCAACUCGACUACAUGAAGCUGGAAUCGCUAGUAAUCGUAGAUCAGCAUGCUACGGUGAAUACGUUCCCGGGUCU